rnacentral:lncRNA from 1 species
AACACAUCCUCCUAUUAAGUUAUUGAAAACAGUUAACCUGAAUUUAUAAUAAUACCAUGGUGUAAAUGAGUAACAUCAAUUCAGGCUUACACACUCAAGGUGUAUCUAAACAUAUAUAUGAGAUGUGUCUGGUAGAAAUUGACCUUUUGCAAGUUAAUGUGAAUAUCUACAGAGACAUAUAAAUAUUUAGUAUACAUGUCUCUGAUAUGUACAAGCAUAAUAAUACUCUGAUAUAUUUGGAGCAUUAAGAAACUUUGUAGAACCAGUAUUGUCACAGAUUUAUUUGUUUACUUGGUAUUUUUUUAAAUGGAUACAGUUCAACAAGGUAAACAUAUGCAGGAGUUUCUUGCUGCAUUGAAGAUCUAUUGGUGACCUUUGACUGUUGUUUGUUCUAUGGGUGGGUUGUUGUCUCUUUGACACAUUCCCCAUUUCCAUUCUCAAUUUUUUCAAAAAAUUAGUUUUAUGAACUGAUUACUAUAGUCUAGCAUUUGUCUAGUGAACUGUUGUUUUGUCUGUUUAUCCUUUUCAUACUUUUUCUAGCUAUAAUUUGCGUUUUAGUAGUUUUUAUUUUUAGACUUUUGAGUGUGAACAGGUUUGACCGGUUGGUAUUCCCGAUUCCUCGCCUCUCUUUUUUUACGGGACACAUCAACGACUAUCUGAAUAAAGUGUCCGCUAUUACUGUAGUGCUUAUUGUAAAAGUACUUAUCCUUUAUAAUGUAAAUCUAAAUGUCGAGGUAGAUUAAAAUUUAAACCAAUAAAAUUGUGUUCGAAGAAUAAAAC